rnacentral:rRNA from 1 species
UAGGGAAUAUUAGUAAUGGGCGCAAGCCUGAACUAGCAACGCCGCGUGUGCGAAGAAGGCCUUCGGGUUGUAAAGCACUUUUUGAGAGGAUGAGGAAGGACGGUACUCUCAGAAUAAGUCUCGGCUAACUACGUGCCAGCAGCCGCGGUAACACGUAGGAGGCGAACGUUAUCCGGAUUUACUGGGCGUAAAGCGCGUGUAGGUGGUUUGGUAAGUAGGGCGUGAAAGCUCCUGGCUCAACUGGGAGAGGCCGUUCUAAACUGCCGAACUAGAGGAUGGUAGAGGGAGGUGGAAUUCCGGGUGUAGCGGUGGAAUGCGCAGAUAUCCGGAGGAACACCAGUGGCGAAAGCGGCCCCCUGGACCACUCCUGACACUCAGGCGCGAAAGCUAGGGUAGCAAACGG